rnacentral:rRNA from 1 species
GGAUCAAAUUGUUGGUCGUGCCUCGGUACGCACUGGUAUUAUUGGUUCCUACCUUCUGAAGAACCGCGAUGUCAUUAAUUUGGUGUCGUGGGGAAUCAGGACUGUUACUUUGAAAAAAUUAGAGUGUUUAAAGCAGGCUCACGCUUGAAUACAUUAGCAUGGAAUAACGGAAUAGGACGUUUGAUUCUAUUUUGUUGGUUUGAGAAACGAAGUA